rnacentral:rRNA from 1 species
AACGAACGCUGGCGGCAGGCUUAACACAUGCAAGUCGAACGGGUGCAGCAAUGCAUCAGUGGCAGACGGGUGAGUAACACGUGGGAACCUUCCUAGAGGUACGGAACAACUCAGGGAAACCUGAGCUAAUACCGUAUACGCUCUUGCGAGGAAAGAUUUAUCGCCUUUAGACGGGCCCGCGUCAGAUUAGCUAGUUGGUGGGGUAACGGCCUACCAAGGCGACGAUCCGUAGCUGAUCUGAGAGGAUGAUCAGCCACACUGGGACUGAGACACGGCCCAGACUCCUACGGGAGGCAGCAGUGGGGAAUCUUGGACAAUGGGCGCAAGCCUGAUCCAGCCAUGCCGCGUGAGUGAAGAAGGCCUUCGGGUUGUAAAGCUCUUUUGUCAGGGACGAUAAUGACGGUACCUGAAGAAUAAGCACCGGCUGACUCUGUGCCAGCCGCCGCCGUAA